GGCAGGCUUAACACAUGCAAGUCGAACGGGCUUCUUCGGAAGUCAGUGGCAGACGGGUGAGUAACACGUGGGAACGUGCCCUUCGGUUCGGAAUAACUCAGGGAAACUUGAGCUAAUACCGGAUACGCCCUUAUGGGGAAAGGUUUACUGCCGAAGGAUCGGCCCGCGUCUGAUUAGCUUGUUGGUGGGGUAACGGCCUACCAAGGCGACGAUCAGUAGCUGGUCUGAGAGGAUGAUCAGCCACACUGGGACUGAGACACGGCCCAGACUCCUACGGGAGGCAGCAGUGGGGAAUAUUGGACAAUGGGCGCAAGCCUGAUCCAGCCAUGCCGCGUGAGUGAUGAAGGCCUUAGGGUUGUAAAGCUCUUUUGUCCGGGACGAUAAUGACGGUACCGGAAGAAUAAGCCCCGGCUAACUUCGUGCCAGCAGCCGCGGUAAUACGAAGGGGGCUAGCGUUGCUCGGAAUCACUGGGCGUAAAGGGCGCGUAGGCGGCCGAUUAAGUCGGGGGUGAAAGCCUGUGGCUCAACCACAGAAUUGCCUUCGAUACUGGUUGGCUUGAGACCGGAAGAGGACAGCGGAACUGCGAGUGUAGAGGUGAAAUUCGUAGAUAUUCGCAAGAACACCAGUGGCGAAGGCGGCUGUCUGGUCCGGUUCUGACGCUGAGGCGCGAA
rnacentral:rRNA from 1 species